GAUGAACGCUGGCGGCGUGCUUAACACAUGCAAGUCGAACGGAAAGGCCUAAGCUUGCUUGGGGCUUCGAGUGGCGAACGGGUGAGUAACACGUGGGAGAUCUGCCUUGCACUUCGGGAAAUGCCUGGGAAACUGGGUCUAAUACCGGAUAUGACCACAUUUUGGGUGGUGUGGUGGCAAGUUUUUCGGUGGGGGAUGAGGUCGCGGCGUAUCAGCUUGUGGGCGGCGUAAUGGUCGACGAGGGGGUGGACGGGGAGGCGGGCCGCGGGGGUGGAGGCUGACAUACGGCCUGGGAUACUACCCAGGCUCCCACGGGGGGCAGCAGCGGGGAAUAUUGAAGAAUGAGGGCAAGACGGAGGCAGCGACGCGGCGUGGGGGAGGACGGCCUUCGCUUUGUAAACUCCUGUCGCCAGGGACGAGGCGGGGUUGUGACGGUACCGGGAGAAGAAGCACCGGCUAACUACGUG
rnacentral:rRNA from 1 species